CAUUUUUCUUCCUGAUAACCUUUUACUAAUGAAGCGCCAGGGCUGAGAAGAGACCAUUUACAAAUGGUGAAUCAUUAGAAACAGAUUUGUGGGCGGGAUGGAUUUUCCAGCAGAGCAUCACUUCUGAGAACACUCUCCUCUGCUAAAAGGUUGCUUUCUAGAAGGCAUCAAAAGACCAGCAAGGGUACAAAAAUCAGCGCAGAAGGGAAAUGCUCAGAUUAUGGUUUGGAAUACCUGAUAGUUUCACAUGCGAACAAGAGGAUCUCCAGCUAACCGGAAAAUAGUAGAAAGCAGCUUUGGGG
rnacentral:lncRNA from 1 species